UACGUAGGGGGCAAGCGUUAUCCGGAUUUACUGGGUGUAAAGGGCGUGUAGGCGGGCUUGCAAGUCAGAUGUGAAAUUCCAUGGCUCAACCGUGGAACUGCAUUUGAAACUGUAGGUCUUGAGUGCUGGAGAGGCAAUCGGAAUUCCGUGUGUAGCGGUGAAAUGCGUAGAUAUACGGAGGAACACCAGUGGCGAAGGCGGAUUGCUGGACAGUAACUGACGCUGAGGCGCGAAAGCGUGGGGAGCAAACAGG
rnacentral:rRNA from 1 species